AAUCCAUAGGUUAAUGAGGCGAACCGGGGGAACUGAAACAUCUAAGUACCCCGAGGAAAAGAAAUCAACCGAGAUUCCCCCAGUAGCGGCGAGCGAACGGGGAGGAGCCCAGAGCCUGAAUCAGCAUGUGUGUUAGUGGAAGCGUCUGGAAAGGCGCGCGAUACAGGGUGACAGCCCCGUACACAAAAGCGCAUGUGCUGUGAGCUCGAUGAGUAGGGCGGGACACGUGGUAUCCUGUCUGAAUAUGGGGGGACCAUCCUCCAAGGCUAAAUACUCCUGACUGACCGAUAGUGAACCAGUACCGUGAGGGAAAGGCGAAAAGAACCCCGGCGAGGGGAGUGAAAAAGAACCUGAAACCGUGUACGUACAAGCAGUGGGAGCACCCUUUGGGGUGUGACUGCGUACCUUUUGUAUAAUG
rnacentral:rRNA from 1 species